GCCCAGACUCCUACGGGAGGCAGCAGUGGGGAAUAUUGGACAAUGGGGGGAACCCUGAUCCAGCGACUCCGCGUGAGUGAAGAAGUAUUUCGGUAUGUAAAGCUCUAUCAUCAUGGAAGAAAAUGACGGUACCUGACUAAUAAGCCCCGUCUAACUACGUGCCAGCAGCCGCGGUAAUACGUAGGGGGCAAGCUUUAUCCGGAUUUACUGGGUGUAAAGGGAGCGUAGACGGCAGCGCAAGUCUGAAGUGAAAUGCCGGGGCUUAACCCCGGAACUGCUUUGGAAACUGUGCAGCUAGAGUGCAGGAGAGGUAAGUGGAAUUCCUAGUGUAGCGGUGAAAUGCGUAGAUAUUAGGAGGAACACCAGUGGCGAAGGCGGCUUACCGGACUGUAACUGACGUUGAGGCUCGAAGGCGUGGGGAGCAAACAGGAUUAGAUACCCGAGUAACA
rnacentral:rRNA from 1 species